GUAGUGUGAAUCUAAUGGGAUGAAUUAGAUUUUUUUUAUCACAUUCAAAAAAAAAAAAAAAGAUAUUUCACAUAUAACAAUCUCAACUGUAAUUCAGAAGGAUUGCAAUGGGGUACCCAUAAUUUUACAUUCAUUGGGGAAAAUACACCACAGAGGCUAUGGUGAUGGUAAAAUCUUUACAUUGACAACUUCAUUCGGUGCAUCCAAAACUGUUGCCGUGGUAGUCUGUGGUCUUUUCAACUCUGAUUUGCACCAUUCCUUCUUCAACGCAAAAAUAUUAAGCCAAAACAUUGAUGUGAAUCUGUAUGUACAGUAGCAAAAAAUCUAAUAAUAGUAGUUGUCCUGGUUGUUUAUAGCAUCUUUACAAAGCACUGAACGUGCUUCCAUUAUAGAUCUUGGUGGCUCCAAGUCUUUCUCUUGUAGCGCAUUUCCAAGCAAUUGCUGCAUCUGUGAUGCAAAAAUGUCAUCCAAGAUAGAAACAGCAAUUCGUGAGCCUU
rnacentral:misc_RNA from 1 species